rnacentral:tRNA from 1 species
GGGCGGGUGAUCUAGCUCGGAAUGAUACCUCCUUGACGUGGAGGAGGCCACCGGUUCAAACGGGUAUGAGCUGCGGUUCAUAGCCUGGCAAUCCGGUCUCGCCCA